rnacentral:rRNA from 1 species
CAAUAGCGUAUAUUAAAGCUGUUGCGGUUAAAAAGCUCGUAGUUGGAUUUCUGUCAAGGACAACUGGUCCGCCCCUCGGGUGAGCACAUAGUUUGGUCUUGGCAUCUUGUUGGAAACUGUUGCUGCACUUGGUUGUGUGGCGCAGUGUCCAGCACUUUCACUUUGAGGAAAUUGGAGUGUUUCAAGCAGGCACAUGCCUUUGGACACAGUAGCAUGGAAUAAUUAGAUUGGGCUUUUGCUCCAACUUGUCGGUUUCUGGAGCUGAGGUGAGAAUUAAUGGGGAUUGUUGGGGGCAUCCGAAUUUAGCCGUCAGAGGCGAAAUUCUUGGAUCUGCUAAAGACGGACAACUGCGAAAGCGUUUGCCCAGGAUGUUUUCAUUGA